ensembl:lncRNA
GAACAGGAUGCCCAAGGAGGUGAUUGAGUCACUGUCCUUGGAGGUGUACAAGAAACAUUUAGAUGUACUGAGGAACAUGGUUGAGUGGGCAACAUCUGUGGUAGGUGGAUGGUUGAGCUAGAUAGUCUUAGAGGUCUUUUCCAGCCUUAAUGAUUCUACGAUUUACACAACUCUGUAAUGUAUUCUGCAUUUUCUAUGUGCCAUUUUUGUACAAAUUAAUUACAUUUGCCAAUUUUUCUUUGCAGGAAGGUUGAAGGUGGAGGACUUUAUGAUAACUCAUAUGGAAUUAUGUUGGGUAUUUUUGUAAAAAAACAAAACAAAACAAAACCACCACCACUCCCGCUUUGGAAUUUAAUUGAAUACAUGCUUUGUUCAAAUCCCUCCUUCUUUCUUAUGGACAGUUUGGACUAGUUAACAUUCAGAGUUUUAUUUAGUUACCAUACAUACUUGUCUAGUGCCAUUUGAGACGCCCAAGAGUAUUCUUGCUUGUUGCCAACUGCUGCAGGAAAAUGGUACAAGCUUACAUAGGUAUCCUGCCAUGCCUGUACAGAGCUAACAUAUCUCUGAAUAACAGCCUUGCUAGGUUGCAUUAAGAAUCUACAUUCUGACAAGCAGACCCUUCCUAAAUAUCAUUUGCAUUGAUGGACCUAGUCACACAGGGACAACCUGCAUUUGCAGGAGGUUGUCACGUAAUUCCAUGCUGUCCAAGCGCAAAAGGACAAACUAGUUCUGACAUUAUUCAUCAUUCAUUUUGUUUUGGAAAUCUGUGAACUGUGAUAGAAAUGUAGCAUCUCUUUAGAUGCCAUGCAUUUAUUUUAGCAACGGUGAGAAACUUUCUAUAAUUUUCCUAGUGCAAAUAGAAUAUGACUCAUCAUCUUCAGAGACUAGUUCAAAGUUUAGGCUUUCUUCCUGGUUUUUAUUACACUUAAGACCACGACUGAGCACUGUACCACUUGACAUAUGUUGUUCGUUCUUAUGUGGAUUUUUUUCUAUCUUCACCUUUCUUCCACGAAGGCCAACUGUUCUGUUGUGUUUGCUCCUAAAACAGCAUGGCAAAUAAACGUUAUUCUUUGUGAUGGAAGUUACUGGGAGAAGUAGCUGAGAUUUUUUGGCAAGUAGCAAAGAGCAGCUGCUUAUUGCAGCCGGAGCCAAACUCUCCCUCUGCCAUCCCCCAUUUCUUCCUGCCUUCCCUGGAGAAAGCUAUCUCGCUGUUAAGUAAACUAGGAUUGGUUUGCAAGGUACAUUAAGAUUACAUUAGAAAAAUAUUUACUUACGUAUAAAGGAGCCUUUUAAAAAAUCUUCACUGCUUAGGAAACAACGUGAUUUUGUGGGUAAAAAAUAAAAACAGAUUUGUUACUCUACAGUUGUAAAGCUGCCAUCUUUUACGAGCCUGGGAAGAGUGACCUUAUUCAUUGUAAGCUUGUGCCAAUUCUGCCUCCACGCAACUAUGCUCUUCCUGAUUCAUGG